ensembl:lncRNA
CAUAAUUUCUUUUUAUUAUUAUAAUUUUUUUAUCUUUUAGUCUCUCUGUCUGAUUGACCUAUGACCCCCUCAGUGUAGUCUUGUCUACUGUGCAUAGUGGCCCGUGGGAGAGUAGACACUUGCAAAACUGUCUCUUGCUUCCUGGUUGUGUCCUUGACGUGCAUUUCCAACUCACCAUCUCCAACCCAACGGGAUUUCAUUUACAUAGUGAAUCAUACAGAGGUAGUUACCUUUUUAAAUGUUCAAGUAAAUGUUAGUUUUUCUAAUUCUAAACAUUCAGUUUGAAUAAUCCAAAUGUAAUGUUCAUGGGGAGCUAACAUGUCCGCCAUAGAAAUGGCAUGUGAAGGCAUCAGGGCAGAAACCACGUUGGCCAAACUCUAAGUCUUUAUGCAGGAAGGGUGUUUCACCCAUCCACCAACGAACCAUCAGGGGACAGGAACAGGUACACAGUUUGUGGAGCAAAAAGUAGUAUGCUUUCCCACAGCGGCCAUUUUGGAUAGUGGUUAAUUGCCAAUAUGUACCUGUUUUAAUGGGAACAGCACCUACCCUGCUGCACACAUACCUCAUCAAGCGCCAGACCUCUGGGUUGUUUUGCCAAAAUGCCUGGACCUAGUCAUUACCCCCACUACUUAAUAUCCACUUUGCCCAGAGGCUACUGGCUCAUCGAAGGGCUCCCUAUUCCCUGUUUAGUGUACUACUUUGGACUAAGAGAUGCUAAAGGUUGGCCACAGAAGGCUCUGGUGAGUACUGUACUAAACAGGGAAUAAGGUGUCAAUCUCCAGAAUCAUCCAAAGACCCCCUGUUGCCUCUGUAGUACACCAUCCAGGUUAGCCUCAGAACGUAAGGUGUAACCAGGCACUAUGUAGUACACCAUCCAGGUUAGCCUCAGAACGUAAGGUGUAACCAGGCACUGUGUAGUACACCAUCCAGGUUAGCCUCAG